rnacentral:rRNA from 1 species
CCUACGGGUGGCAGCAGUGAGGAAUAUUGGUCAAUGGCCGGGAGGCUGAACCAGCCAAGUAGCGUGAAGGAAGACGGCCCUACGGGUUGUAAACCUCUUUUGUAAGGGAGUAAGGUGCAGGUCGGGACCUGCUGUGAGAGUACCUGAUGAAAAAGAAUCGGCUAACUCCGUGCCAGCAGCCGCGGUAAUACGGAGGAUGCGAGCGUUAUCCGGAUUUAUUGGGUUUAAAGGGUGCGCAGGCGGGGGCUCAAGUCAGCGGUAAAAUUGCGGGGCUCAACCCCGCAUCGCCGUUGAAACUGUGUCCCUUGAGGUCACUAAGGGUAGGCGGAAUGCGUGGUGUAGCGGUGAAAUGCAUAGAUAUCACGCAGAACUCCGAUCGCGAAGGCAGCCUACCGGCGCGCAACUGACGCUCAUGCACGAAAGCGUGGGUAUCGAACAGGAUUAGAUACCCGAGUAGUC